UGCAGAUGGAAAUUUCUCAGAUUUUCCAUAUAUACAAUAUUUAACACAUCCACCGGAAAUUAUUAAAAAACCACAAAAUCAAGGAGUUAAAGUUGGUGGUGUUGCUAGUUUCUUUUGUGCAGCUAGAGGUGAUCCACCACCAUCAAUAGUUUGGCGUAAAAAUGGAAAGAAAGUUUCAGUUUCCCAAAGUCGAUAUACUGUGAUUGAAUCAGGUGGUAUAUCAAUAUUAAGAAUUGAACCAGUUAGAGCUGGACGUGAUGAUGCACCAUAUGAAUGUGUUGCUGAAAAUGGUGUUGGUGAUGCUGUAUCAUCAGAGGCGACUUUAACAAUAUAUGAAAGUAAGUGAUGAAUUUCAUAAAACGGAAAUUG